rnacentral:rRNA from 1 species
UACGGAGGGUGCUAGCGUUGUUCGGAAUCACUGGGCGUAAAGGGCGUGUAGGCGGUCUGUUAAGUCUGAUGUGAAAUCCCCUCGCUCAACGAGGGAACUGCGUCGGAUACUGGCAGACUCGAGUACCGGAGAGGAAGGUGGAAUUCCCGGUGGUAGCGGUGAAAUGCGUAGAUAUCGGGAGGAACACCGGUGGCGAAGGCGGCCUCUGGACGGAUACUGACGCUGAGACGCGAAAGCGUGGGGAGCAAACAGG